rnacentral:misc_RNA from 1 species
GUAACAGAGAAAAGAAAAGUAACACGAAACCCAAUCUCAAAGAAACGAAAGAAGAAGAGAGAAACGUGAAAGAAUCUUGGAGAAAGGAAAAAAGGACCUGUAAUUCCAUUCUUGAGAGCGAGCUUACUCUACCAUGGCCAAGAAUCGACCAUCUUUGAUACCAAUUGAUAGAGUUCAGAAAGAAAAAGGGAGAAAUCCAGAGAAAAGAAGAUAGAAUUUGAGAGAAAAAGAAGGGAAACCACAAAAGAAAACAGAGCGAGAAUUUCAUUUAAUUGGCAUCAGAAUCCAAAAUGAGUCCCAAUAUAAGAAUUACAGCUUUUAUUCUAGCUAAUGA